rnacentral:rRNA from 1 species
UACAGAGGGGGCAAGCGUUGUUCGGAAUUACUGGGCGUAAAGGGCGCGUAGGCGGCCUGCUAAGUCGAACGUGAAAUCCCUGGGCUCAACCCAGGAACUGCGUCCGAUACUGGUUGGCUUGAAUCCGGGAGAGGGAUGUGGAAUUCCAGGUGUAGCGGUGAAAUGCGUAGAUAUCUGGAGGAACACCGGUGGCGAAGGCGGCUUUCUGGUCUGUAACUGACGCUGAGGCGCGAAAGCGUGGGGAGCAAACAGG